rnacentral:misc_RNA from 1 species
UGGCUCUGGCAUCGAUGAAGAACGCAGCGAAAUGCGAUAAGUAAUGUGAAUUGCAGAAUUCAGUGAAUCAUCGAAUCUUUGAACGCACAUUGCGCCCGCCAGUAUUCUGGCGGGCAUGCCUGUCCGAGCGUCAUUACAACCCUCAGGCCCAGCCUGGUGUUGGGGAUCGGCCGAGCCCUCCAGGGCAGACGCCGUCCCCCAAAUUCAGUGGCGGUCUCGCUGCAGCCUCCAUUGCGUAGUAGCUAACACCUCGCAACUGGAACGCGGCGCGGCCAUGCCGUAAAACCCCCAACUUCUGAAUGUUGACCUCGGAUCAGGUAGGAAUACCCGCUGA